rnacentral:rRNA from 1 species
GACGGAGGGUGCUAGCGUUGUUCGGAAUGACUGGGCGUAAAGGGCUCGUAGGCGGUUUGUCGCGUCGGGAGUGAAAACCUCGGGCUUAACUCGGGGCUUGCUUUCGAUACGGGCAGACUAGAGGUAUGCAGGGGAGAACGGAAUUCCUGGUGUAGCGGUGAAAUGCGUAGAUAUCAGGAGGAACACCGGCGGCGAAGGCGGCUCUCUGGACCGAUGCUGACGCUGAGACGCGAAAGCGUGGGGAGCAAACAGG